rnacentral:tRNA from 1 species
CAAACAAAGCAAGCUCUUUUAUUUCUUUUUCAAUGCGACACAUCUCAAAGUGGUGGAGCAAACAGGUAUAAAAAUAAGACUAUUGUAGAAAAGUCCACGUUUGAGGUGCCUAACAAUUUGGAUCCUGGUCGGUGCCCAAGGAGGUCCCAUCUAAAGAUGGGGUGAACACCUCUGUUCUCCAGCUUCUGGUCCCAUCACGACUUUGACUUAAAUCAACACGACAGACUAGACACAGAGGAAAAUUCCAACAGGGGAAUAAAAGACAAUCCAAAGCAUUUUCAGAAACACAAGUUACACUUCAGUAUUGUGUCUCAAGGUAGGUAAAUCUGAGGCACACAUAUCAACACCUUUUCUAAAGCACUACUUGAAGGCUUUUUUUAUUCUAUUUUUUUAAAGAAUAAAAGUCUUGCCGCUCUUAAGCCCAAACAGGAACAUUGCUGGUGCAGAAAAGUUUGAGAAAAAAAUGAGUGGCUGCUUUAAGUGACUGAACACAGGGAUUUUAAACUUGAAGUAUAUUUAACGGGGUGAAAGAACAGAAAUAGUAGCAAACACCUCAUUUCAGAUGACAAAAACACAAAUCGUUAUCAGCACAUGGUAAAUCCCAUUCAUUCUUUUCGCUUACAUUAUACAAAUUCCAAUCCUAAACGGAAUUUACAGCCUCACUGACGAGAAGGUGUAACCUGACAUCCACAGUUAGGAAAAUGAGAAAAAAAAAAAAGUCCAAGUUGUUACCACUAGCAACAAAGAAAGCAAAAUUGUAUAAGACACUGGAAUUACAGAUAUUUAUUCUUGGUGAUUUUCAUUACAAAUUAAUAGAUCUUUAGUUAGGCUUGCUUACUUUUUCUUUAUCUCAUAAAGAUGAUUUUUAUUUUCCUUAAAAAAAAUUUUUUGGCUUUGCUUGUGGCAUGCAGAAGUUCCUGGCCAGGGAUGGAACCUGGGCCACAGCAGUGACAAUGCUGGAUCCUUAACCCACUAGGCUACCAGGGAACUCCAAUUUUUGAACAUUUUCUUAACUUGCACUCAGAAACACUGACCACUUAGAAAGUAAGGGUCUGGUGACAUGAAACAAGCUGAAACCUUAGUUAUGUCAGGAGACUUUCAGCUACCUCCAAAUGCAGCAUUUAACAGAGGAAAAAAUAAGCCCUUAAGACUUUAAAAAUUGCUUCUCAUGCUCUUGUGACCUGUGCAUGCAUCAUGAAUAAAAAUACAAUUAUUCCAACCUAAGUGAAGGCAAUUCUAUGGAAAAACAUCAAUGUCAAAUCAGGCUAAGUUUCAAAGAUUUUCAAGGCUUCAAGUCUCAGGAAUUCCCACUGUGGUGCAGUGGAUUAAGAACCUAACUGCGGCAGCUCAGGUUGUUGCAGAGGCGUGGUUUCAAUCUCCGCCCAGUUUAGUAGGUUAAAGGAUCCCCAUGUUGCUGCAGUAGCUGCAGCGUAGGUCACAGCUGCAGCUCCGAUUCAAUCCCUGGCUUGGGAACUCCCAUAUGCUGUGGCCAUUAGAAAAAAAAAAAGGACUUCAAAUCUCCUUUUAGUGGUAUCAUUAGUAUGAUAGCUGUGCUUAUUUGAAAUCUACUUUAUACAUCUAUAAUUUGUAAUUGGAUGGUUUGUAAUUAUAAAUACACACUGGCAAAAUAUUCAACUCAGACUGAUAUGUGUGGGCUACACCCUUGGUACAUACAAUUGAAACUUCACCUAGUCGAUCUUCUGUAAAUAAUUCUCCAUCUGCAAAAAGAACCACCCACUUGUCAUUGCUGCUCCCAGGGCACCGGCCAGCCCUGACCAGCCCAUGUCUAGAGGUGAGAUGGAGAGUUUAUCAUCACACACUCUCCUGCAUCCCCAGAUGCUACCCAGACACAUCCAGGACCACUGCCCUGCCAGUGUGGUGUCCCAACAAGUACCCGAGGGCUUCACCCGACACGGUGAGGCUCCCGACGCCAAAGAUCAGGGGCCCUGGAGUCACUCCUGCCGUGGGCUCCAUCUGAAUUUAUCUGGAUCCUUCACGUGCCUCUUGCCAGCUGUUGGUACCGGGCUCCCUUUAAGAGCAUGUGCGCUGUGAUGUCACAGGGCACACCGGAGUUUAGAAGCGCCGGACAUCUGUCCAUAUGGCAUAUCUGAUUGUAAGAAACCCGAGAAAGCCAGGGGUGGAAGAGAAAACACCAUCCUGAUUGGUCCAAGCCGUGUCUUCUGGACACACCCACUUAAUCCCAGUGGACAGAGGUUUUGCAGAUGCACUCGGAGGCCUGGCUUCGCUCUCGCGCCCACAGCCCCCAGCGCUGCCAACUCUCUUCUGCCCGGGGAGGCCAUUCUCCUGGGGGCUGAAGGCCGGCUUUGCGUUCGGAGUCCCCCGUGGGAGCGCAAUGAGCUGCACUGAUUAUGAUUGGGAUUCUGGGAUGUGCUCGGUGACCGCGUGGACCCGCCAGAUUGCAGGUGCAGGGGCUCCCAGCGGGCACCGCAGUGCCCUCGGGGACCCUUCUGCUGCCCACCCCCCCAAGCUCUUCUUUCUGGAAGUGCCCCUGACAGCAGGUGUCCCGGGAGCAGGCGUGUGGUCAGGAAGCUGCAGGGCUCUUUCUGAGUCCACGGGCUGGCCAGCAGGGCUGGGGGACGUGGCUGCUCUGAUAUCUCUGACUUCCAAGGUGACUGUCAAGCAGGAUGGCUGCAGCCGGGAGCUUUCCCCAGAUGCUCAGAUCCCAAACUCUGUCCACUCCUCUUUGGCUCCAGACUCUGGACCCUGCCCUUUGAACUUCCCAGGGCACAACCUUGAACCCGCAGCCUAAGGACAAGGUCCCAAUGGGGACUUCAGGUGUCGCUAGUUUUGUUAGAAGUGACCCGUGCCAGGCAAGCUUCUCUUUGACACAUUAUAAAGCCUGAGAGUUUGCUUUGGAAAAUUCCUAAAACAUAGGCUGUGCCCCAAACUCAGGGAAAUGAGUUUCCUGGGACAUCGUGGAAUGUUCUCCGUGUGUCCAGAUCUUUGCUGUCAUUUGCGGGUCAGGAGAUACUGCUUCUUCCCCCACUGCCCUUCCUAGGUUCUAGAAUUUUCUCACAACCAUCACCUACUCUAUUCCUUGAAUAAAUCGAUCUUCACCUGGAUUGGGCAACACAGAGCAUAAGGGGCCACUUUCUCUCAUUUUUUCUGUGCGGACAUCUGACACGUGACUCUAGCUUGAAUGUUCGUGAAGUUUGGGGUUUGCAGCUGUGUGAACGAAAUCACAUCCCCAACGGAUCCAGUUCAGGGUAAAAGACACCCGAGGAGUCCUGGAAUUAAGGCUACUUUUCCAAAAGAGCUAAUUCUGCUUAUUUUGUUAGUUCUGUUAUACUUUCACUUAUAUUUUUAUGUUCCCUCCUCUCAAAACCGUAUUUUUCCAUCCUGCUAUUUAAUGGGUAAACUGUCUUAAGUUCAAAUCUGAAAUUCUUAAAACCCACUAGAAACGUACACAAUAACUUCUGUUGUGUGGAGUCUUCUUGGCACCGGAAUCUGUCUUGGCAAAACCCAUUCUUUUAUGUUUUAUGGUGUUUGGUUGUCUUUCCCAAAAAAGAAAAAAAAUAUCUUAGUGGCAAGUCUUUCCUCUGAACAGUUCUGCAAUCAAUUCUAAUAAGUUCGUGCAAGAGAAAAACGCACUGGGAUUCCGCCCAAUCAUUUGGUUUCUGCUAAUGAUCAAGUCUAUGAAACUCAAUGAUUGUUUACGGAACAGGCUGUUGGGCAGCGAUUUAUUUCCAGGGACAUCAAGUGGCUCUAGGCCAGAACUUGGAACUGAACCAAGCCUGGCAGCUCCAGCAGUGGGGACCUGGUAAGAGGGAAUUAACAAAAUUUCCAUUUCAGAGGAGAACCUAUCAAAUAGAGAGAGUGGUCUCUCUUCUCUUAAAGGGGAAAAUGGAACCCCCAGAUCAAAACUACUUUGCAGGGAGUUCCCAUCGUGGCUCAGUGGUUAACAAACCCAACUAGUACCCAUGAGGGCUUGGGUUCGAUCCCUGGCCUCACUCAGUGGGUUAAGGAUCCAGCGCAGCUGUGAGCUGCGGUGUAGGUUGCAGACUUGGUUCAGAUCCCGCAUUGCUGUGGCUGUGGUGCAGGCUGGCAGCUGCAGCUCCAAUUCGACCCCUAGCCUGGGAACCUCCAUAUGCUGUGGGUGUGGCCCUAAAAAGCAAAACACGAAACAAAACUACUUUGCAAAAUCUGCUACCCAAAGCUCUGUGAGGUUGUUACUGCUGCAAUGUUGUGAGUUACUGUCAUAGUUUUGAAUCUAACUGACCCCAAAUUUCUCUCUAACCGAAACCUCUGCGUUUCCCAGAAUCAGGUUAAAAAAAAAAAUCCUUUCAGAAGUUUGGGAGUGGGCUGUGUUCAGGGGACGUUUCCCACCAUCACUGGCAAGGAAUCUGUGUCUUUAACGCCAGGUGCCUGCUCUGAGGUGGUAAGAAAUGCGAAAUAGUGUGUGGUAAAAUGCCACGGUGACCUGAUACCAAUCACUGUGGUUCUUUUACGUUCCAGUCGGGGGACACAUAGAAUCUAUCCCCAGCUCAUGUCUUGCUAUUUUUCAUACACAGCUUCCGUUUCUGAAGAUAGGAUUUCAUUUCAGACUUCUGAAUAACUUGUCAAGAUAUGAAGCAUCGGCCUAUUUAAGAAAACAUUGCUUGUGUAGAAGGGUCUGUUUCCCAUCAGGGAGGUGAUAAGGCUUUGAUGACCAUCUAAUGCUAAGGUGCAUCUUUCAGAGCAGACCAUCUCCCAGUACCUUCCAGAGUGUGCUGCGAGGUAAAAAUGACACCCCAAAGGACUGGCACCUCCUUUCCUGUUCAAAGCAAGCCUCCUUGAAGGUCUGCCAAGCUAAGCAUCAAUUUACAUUAACUGGAGAAGGUGGGUGUCACUAACAGUUUUGACCCCACGCCCAAUUUUCAGCAGCAAGGCAUGCCAGGAAAAUGCCCCACUUCCAAUUGUCUAUUUCAUUCUUGUUGCUAAGUUAUGCUUUUGUAAUGCAAGUCAUUCCAUUAAAAUGUCACAUCCAAUGACACCUCAGAUGAAAAGGUGAUAGGAAAUACAGAUGAGAAAUUUGAUAGGAAAUACAGAGCGUUAUAGCAAACUCCAUUCACGUACCCAAGGCUGGAUUCUAACUUGCUAUUCUCAAGUAUUCUGGGAACAGUACCCGCUCAUCUGUGGCAAUAGAAACGGUCCCCAGCUCUCCUCCCAGAAACCAAACAUGGAAAAACAGAACAGAAGACGCUUGCAUAAAACAAUAAGGAGCAAAACGAACCAGGUCAUACUGGCAAUUCCUUCCUUUGAUUUCAGAGGUUCAGAUUCUCCACAGCGAGGGGAAAGCGACAUGAGAGGCUGCUGCCUUCACUUCUAGCUAAAGCGGCCCCUGAAACAGGCACCCAUGGAAAGAGAUUUGGACUUGCAGAGAUUUCGAGCUUGGAAAGGUAUUCUGAAACGAUUACCUCUCAACCAGCUGAGACCGGAAAUGAUCAUGAGCUUCCUAUGACAGAAUCUCCUGCCUUCAUCCCAUCUCAAGAAGGUGUCGUUCCCACCAUGGCCAUGCCUGCCCUGAGUCUGGAAGAACAUAGAAGAUCCAUGUUCUAAGAUGCAACUCAAACCUC